AGUGAACGCUGGCGGUAGGCCUAACACAUGCAAGCCGAACGGCAGCACAGUAAGAGCUUGCUCUUACGGGUGGCGAGUGGCGGACGGGUGAGGAAUACAUCGGAAUCUACUUUUUCGUGGGGGAUAACGUAGGGAAACUUACGCUAAUACCGCAUACGACCUACGGGUGAAAGCAGGGGAUCUUCGGACCUUUCGCGAUUGAAUGAGCCGAUGUCGGAUUAGCUAGUUGGCGGGGUAAAGGCCCACCAAGGCGACGAUCCGUAGCUGGUCUGAGAGGAUGAUCAGCCACACUGGAACUGAGACACGGUCCAGACUCCUACGGGAGGCAGCAGUGGGGAAUAUUGGACAAUGGGCGCAAGCCUGAUCCAGCCAUACCGCGUGGGUGAAGAAGGCCUUCGGGUUGUAAAGCCCUUUUGUUGGGAAAGAAAAGCAGCAGGUUAAUACCCCGCUGUUCUGACGGUACCCAAAGAAUAAGCACCGGCUAACUUCGUG
rnacentral:rRNA from 1 species